CCAAAGCUCAGAUUACGACGGUAAAAAAAUUUGUAUUUCUUUCUUUCCAGUUUCAUUUCAACGGCGUAGAGUGAGAAAAGCUACGAAGCAUAGAGAAAAACUGAAGCGGUGGACAUCGAAUUUGCGCCAAUUUUAAUCCAAAUUUCGCCAUUGGAAGUUUCUUGGGAGGGGUUUGUAAUCAAUUCUAACAUAAACGGUGUGGUGUAUAAGUUCAUAAAACAUGGAGAAAGAUCGAAAGCCACCCCCGAUAUUAUGCGUAAAAUGGCCGUGGGACACUGCCAUUAAUCAACACAACAAAAACCCAAUUCCAAGUCCUUGUGAGCUUGAUACUCCAUGGCUUUUCAAGUCUUUACAAACUCUUGGAACACUUUCUUUCAAUUUCUUCAAUUCAAUCUCAAACCAUUCCAACAGGUCUCCACUUAGAAAUUUCCAACUUAAUUUCAGUGGUAUUUCCCUGAACAAUAGAAUAAACAAUGAGGUUGAUGUUAAGAGCAAUAAUAGUUUGAAAAAGAAGAAACCAUUAGGAAAGGGCUUAAGCCCAGAAGAACAAGCAGAAGCAGAACAGAGAGCUUUAGCAAUGGCAUUGGCUAGCGGGAAAGAAGCAACAGUCCUUGAGUUUUAUUCUCCUAAUUGUAGUCUCUGCAAUUCGCUUCUUGGGUUUGUGACAGAAGUUGAGAAUCGCAACUCCAAUUGGCUUAACAUUGUCAUGGCUGAUGCUGAGAAUGAGAAAUGGCUGCCUGAGCUUCUUCACUAUGAUAUAAAGUAUGUUCCGUGCUUCGUGAUUAUGGACAAAAAAGGAAGGGCACUGGCUAAGACUGGUGUACCAAGCAGUCGGCUACAUGUAGUUGCCGGUGUCUCCCAUCUUCUGAAAUUGAAACGCCCUCAACAGCAUUGAAUACCAGAACACAGCAUGCUCAAACACUGUUACUGUCAGAUUCACGCUAUUUGGCAAGGAUACCAUAGCUAACUUAGAGCAACUCCAAUGGUUCAAAAUUACAACCAAUUGAAGUUGCUCUUACAUCAAUGCAAUCGUAAGCAGAGUAAAUGGCGAGUGCAUUUCAAGUUCAACCUUCAACUCGUCCCCAGCCUUUCUCAUGUAGUAGUAUAGAGUUUAUAACCUUUUUUAUAGUUCAUCAUAUUCAAAUAAAUUAAUAUACAUUGUGUGUAAAUAUAAAUAGACACUGUAAAUGUAAGAGGUGGAAGUCUAUCAUAUAUUCAUAUUCA